AUGGCCUGGACCCCUCUCCUGCUCCCCGUCCUCACUCUCUGCACAGGCUCCGUGGCCUCCAGUGCGCUGACUCAGUCUCCCUCGGUGUCAGUGUCCCUGGGACAGACGGCUACCAUCAGCUGCUCUGGAGAGAUACUGAGCGAAUACUAUGCACAAUGAUACCCGCAGAAGCCAGGCCAAGCCCCCAUGAUGGUCAUUUAUAAGGACACUGAGCGGCCCUCUGGGAUCCCUGACCGAUUCUCUGGCUCCAGCUCAGGGAACACGGUCACACUGACCAUCCGCGGGGCCCGGGCCGAGGACGAGGCUGACUAUUACUGUCGGGUGUGGGACAGCAGUGCUAAAGCUCACAAUGACACAGGCAGAUGGGGAAAUUUCCUGCACAUGCACUUCUCCAUCUCAGAGUCUGCUUCCAGGAACCCAAUGCAGGAAGGCCGGCAUCUCUGA